ensembl:lncRNA
GUGAGUCGUGUGUAAAAGAAUCACAAGUAAGAAAUGAAUCAUUUAUACGAGACAGAUACAAAAAUGAAUGUGUAAAAGAAUCACAAGCAAUAAUUGAAUCGUGUAAAAGAAUCAAAAAUAAACGAAUUGUGUGAAAGAAUCAGACGAAAAUUCAUGUGAAAAUAAAUGACUUGUGUAAAAUGAAUCAUGUAAAAGAAUCACAUUUAAGGUGAGUCGUAAGUAAGAGUCGUGUGAAAAUAAAUGAGUCAUGUAAAAGAAUCACAUUUAAGGUG